UACGUAGGGUCCAAGCGUUAAUCGGAAUUACUGGGCGUAAAGCGUGCGCAGGCGGUUCUGAAAGUCAGCUGUGAAAGCCCCGGGCUUAACCUGGGAAUUGCGGUUGAAACUACAGGGCUAGAAUCUGGCAGAGGGGGGUGGAAUUCCACGUGUAGCAGUGAAAUGCGUAGAGAUGUGGAGGAACACCGAUGGCGAAGGCAGCCCCCUGGGCUGAGAUUGACGCUCAUGCACGAAAGCGUGGGGAGCAAACAGG
rnacentral:rRNA from 1 species